ensembl:lncRNA MRPS31P5 mitochondrial ribosomal protein S31 pseudogene 5
ACAGUUGCGCUCCUGGUUGGCUUUGUGUUUCCGCGGUGUUGGUAGAGUCUCGGUGUUUCUACCUCUUAGCACCCUUUCCUGCCACCCUUUGUCCUGUGGAAGCCCGGAGACAUCAGCGGCUGCAAUUUUGCUACUCGCUGCUCGGCAUGGAACGGUCAGGGGCAUUUUAAUAUAGAAGUGUGAAAAAUGGAAAGUCAGUCUGAAAGGGGACGUCUUGAAUGUCGUUUUGAAGGUGUUGCAUUUGAAGUACUGAUGCGAUGCUGUCAGUGGAAACAAACUCAGGACAAAAAAUAAUAUCCAAAGAUAUUUUGGCACUAACAGCGCUAUCUGUAGCAAGAAAGUUGAGCAGUGUGAACUGUUGAGACUUCCAAGAAGACUUCAGAGAACCAAGACAGUGUAAAGGAAAACAGGAAAAAAGACUUGUUAGACAUUAUUAAGGGCACGAAAGUUGAAUUGAGCACAGUAAAUGUACAAACAACAAAGCCACCCAACAGAAGUCCACUUAAAAGCUACAACUGGCCCGCCUCAAAGAGCUACAGAGCAUGCUCCAAAGAAGAGGUAAAU